UCCCUGGUGGACUAGUGGUUAGACCAGAAUACUCUCACUGCUGGGGUAUGGGUUUGAUUCCUGGCCAGGGAA